rnacentral:other from 1 species
ACUAACCUGAAAUGUGCGAUAAAGUCUUGUUAUUUUGAACCUACAGAUACUUUAAACGGGAUUCCUAUAUCGUCAUGCGGAUGUCAAGCCUCCAGCCGGUUGGCUUUAUGCAGUGGAAGGCAGAAGUGUGAUUGCGGUUACCCACCUAGCUUAGCUAGGAGUCAAAAUACAAGAUCCGGCAUUUUGGGGAUAAU